AAUAGAUACCCCCGGUAGUCCACGCCGUAAACGGUGGGUACUAGGUGUGGGUUUCCUUCCUUGGGAUCCGUGCCGUAGCUAACGCAUUAAGUACCCCGCCUGGGGGAGUACGGCCGCAAGGCUAAAACUCAAAGGAAUUGACGGGGGGCCCGCACAAGCGGCGGAGCAUGUGGAUUAAUUCGAUGCAACGCGAAGAACCUUACCUGGGUUUGACAUGCACAGGACGCCGGCAGAGAUGUCGGUUCCCUUGUGGCCUGUGUGCAGGUGGUGCAUGGCUGUCGUCAGCUCGUGUCGUGAGAUGUUGGGUUAAGUCCCGCAACGAGCGCAACCCUUGUCCUAUGUUGCCAGCGGGUUAUGCCGGGGACUCGUAGGAGACUGCCGGGGUCAACUCGGAGGAAGGUGGGGAUGACGUCAAGUCAUCAUGCCCCUUAUGUCCAGGGCUUCACACAUGCUACAAUGGCCGGUACAAAGGGCUGCGAUGCCGUGAGGUGGAGCGAAUCCUUGGUAAAGCCGGUCUCAGUUCGGAUCGGGGUCUGCUAACUCGGUACCCCG
rnacentral:rRNA from 1 species